AUGCUCCUUUGCACAAGACAUCAUCUCCUACCUCGGCCACAUCAUUGCCAAGGACGGCGUGGCCACGGAUCCGGAGAAGACACAGGCCAUGCUGGCUUGGCCUACCCCAACCUCGGCCACCGAGCUCCGUGGCUUCCUCGGCCUCACGGGCUACUACCGCAAGUUUGUCGCGCAUUAUGGCAUCAUUGCCAAGCCGCUAACUAA
rnacentral:rRNA from 1 species